GGGGGUCUCCAACAGACGAGGCCUCGCCGGCCAGAUGGGGAGACUCGUCUGCCGCUCGCCGGGGCCACAAAGGAGGGUCCCCUGGCAGCAGCUGGUCCCAAGGAAGAGGUGAAGGAAUGCAUAAGGGAAGAGCCCGCAUGAGAUGAAAGAAACUUUGUAGGGACUAAUUAUGCCCCAAAGCAGAGAGAAACACUCUAAAGGACUUGGAGAUCCCAGUGAUUCUAAAGUCAGGAGCCCUGACGAACGCCGCUGGCAUGCCUGGAAGCUGCGGCUCACUCCUGCGUGCCAGCCCCGGCCGGAGCCUCCGCCCUCCGCCCUCCAUCCCAGCGCCUGCCCUACAGCUCCGCGGCACGGGAAUUGUGCUCGUGGUAUCCUGUGAGGGUCACAUCGAGCUGGAACCACUCCGUGUGCUGGGCUCCCGGUGCUCACCGUGUGCCCUGGGACAGGAAAAGGCUAAAAAGAAGUGGAGAAGCCUGGGGGAGCCAAGCCUGUGGGAAAACCCCGAAACAGCAGCACUUCUGCUUGGGGGGCACUGAGACCUCCAAGAACAUCCUGGCGUGUCCAAAUUUCUCAGCCACAGCUCUUGCCAGGCCCAGCUGUGCAGAGGAGCCAGCAAAUGGUUCCUGUCUUUGAUUAAACCUGGAGCCAAGGCCCCCAGUGCUGGAGCCAAGCUCCCAGUCCCUCACCAGUCUGUCAGCCCUAUUUGUCCCCUCCUGAUGGACCCUGCUCAGGGUAAGCCUCCCAGUUUGGGACCAGGGUCUUAAGGGCACUUUGGAUUCCCUGUUUCCAUUAGAAGACACCACCUGCAGUACUCGCCUGGGGUCUCUAUCCCACAAAAGUUGUCAUAGGAAUACUAAUAUUGAUGUGUCAUAGGAAUAUGAAUUGCUGAAGCAGGGGGUCCCACAGCCAGGCAGAAGUGGUGGCUGGGGACAUGCUGUCUGCUGGGGUCACUGAGCAUCAGCCUCGCUGCACUCACAGGGUGAGGCUGUUUCCCCAAAGUAGAUGAAGUCAGAGUGCUGUUACCUGGAUCCAAGGACCACGGUGCUUUCUCCAUCCCAGCAGCAGGACAGGGAAAGGCUUUGGAACCAUCUGGAUGGCUUCCAUGCAUCCAGGCCAUGCUUAUCAGCAUCCGUGCCUCGGGCACAGAGCUGAGAAAUGAAAGGGAACAACCCAAACGGAGCGCUGAGUUCUGCUGCACUGAGAAAUAUUUAGUGAUCCCACUGCUGGCUCAGAUGGGAAUGGGCCCUUAGAGGCUGAAUUAUCAAAAGCAGCUCUUGGGAAUGAAAAAAAGCUGGAUAAAUUGCUGAUUGCAGCUGCCUGGCUGGAAAUAAAGUGAGUGCUCCCAGGGCAUGUGGCUCAGGGGGAAUGAGCUCUGUGUCCACUUGAGGACCGAAAGACCAAAUUCCCCUUGUUGUUCUCAAACCAAGAGGCACUGGCAGCCAGAGAGGGGCUGGACAGGGGAUGGGAUCAGAGGAGAAUAUCCUUGGGGUGAUGUAGAAGUGCUUGCCACAGUGAGCAGCGCUGUACUGCAAAGGCAAAGUGUCACUUAAACCCCGGUCAUUUUAGUGAAGAGAAAAUCAGGAAUAUGUAAAGAGCCUGUUUUGUAAAGAAAUAACCUUCAGGGUUUCCUCUGCUGCAACCUCAAGAAAUUCCACAGCUGCUCCUGCGUGGGAGGGA